CCUACAAGACUAGUGUUCAGCGUUCCUGUUUAUGUCAACUCUCAAUCGUCCUUUGGGCACCGGACCACCGCUAGGGACUCGCUGGGCCGGGCAGCCCCGAACUCGGCCAGUUCAGGGCGCCAGGAUCUAGGCCCACCUCUGCGCUCUGAGCGGUUCCUUCCUAGUGGAUGGGGCGGGUGUGUUGCCGGAGUCGCACGCCAUUGGCCGCACGGUAGGGCUUCCCGACACUUGAUUGGGUGUUUCUGUACCCUUCAGGCCUAGAUCAUUGGAGGGCGCUGGAGCCAGGGGGCGGAGCUAGCCUCCCCGGAUUCUUGACCGGGCGCGCUUGUACGCGGUGCUAGGUACGGGUGCGGGGCCGGUGGCGCGAGGGCCGCGGGCGUACUAGGGAGGACGAUGUGGGGAGCCGCUCCACUCUGACACGGUGUCGGCAAAGGAGUGCGAGGUCGAGACCAACCAUCCAGCCUGGUCUUUGGGAGCAUUUCCUUGCUUUUCCCCGGCUAGAACUCAUCUGUCACCGUGCUCUCUCGUCCCGUUCAAGCUGGGCCGGGCCCGGUCGCCGGCGGCGGCGGCGGAGGCGACUCGGGACCCGGCGCGCCGAGCCCCAGCUGUCAGGAGAGCGGUGGAACGUCUGGAGACACAAAGGACGCGGUGGACGGCAGCGGCGAGGAGGGGGCGCCAAAUAGUGGGGCGCCUGGCCGCGCCCGCUCCGACCACCGGCCGCGGGGUCUCGGUCCGAGGCUUCGGAGACAAUGCGCCCGCCCGGCUGGGUGUCCCCGCGCGCGCCUAGGCCGAGCGUCCUCGGUUCCCAGGCGCCAACUUGCCGUAGUCUCCGCCGGCCCCCGCCCUGCGCUCCCUUCUCUUCCCGGGAAGCGGCGCCCCCUCGCCCGGCGGCGGCCAGCGGAGGAAGUGGGACCGCAUCUGGCGAGCCCGGCAACUUGCAAGCCGGGAAAAGUUUGCUGCGCCUUCGCGGGGCGGCGCGGGGCGGUACGGCCCGCCCCUCGCCUCCGCGGUGGGUGCGGGUGACUUUCCCCCACCCGGCCCGGCGCCAUCGGCGGACGAUCGCUGGCGAGGCCGACGUGUACCCGAGGGAUCCCGCGGCCAGGCUGCUGCGCUCUGAAGAAAGACAAGAAGAAAGAAAGGAGGAAGACCACACCAGAGGAGAUAACUAGCUCUGGGAACAAUGGAAGAAGGUCACCUUACUAAACAGUAAUUGCUGAGCAGAAGGAAAGGGAUAGAAGAAAGAUAGAGACUAAAGUACCAGCAUCUUGCAAUAUAACCCAGGCCCAGCCUGGUCUCAAACUUCCCACCCCCCUGCCUUGGCCUCCUGGGAUUACAUGCAUGUGUCAUCUGGUACAGCACAAUUUUGUAAGUAUAUUUCCAGUCCACCGUUUUUUAAAUCUUGGAUGUGGAAGCCAAUUGUAUUUUGUAUUUCAGUUUUAUUAAAUAGUGCUGUCUAAUAAUAAAGCUAUGUUUUCCUUUUUACGUAUAAGUAAAAUACUUUAUGAUAGUAAGAACUCUAGGAUAAAUGCUGGGUGACUCUGGUUGGUACUGUAAGCCUUUGUGAACAUAUAUCACAUGCACAAUAUGCUUAAGUUAAGAAGGAUGCCCUUAAAUUAUGAGAUGCUAUUAUACAUUGACCAGACUUUAAGAAUGUAUCUUUAAAGUGUGCUGACAUUUAAUUGACCUUUGAAUGUUCAUUCUGUUAAUCAUACUCAAAGUGCCAAAGCUAUGGUUGACUGCUCUGGUGUUUUUUAUUCAGUUGUACUUAGCAUAUAAAUUCUCCAGCAUAAUUGCUACUUAUUUGUAAAAGUUUUCUUCUCUAAAAUUUUUUUGAGUAGUCUUUUUCUUUUUUCUAACUUUGCUUCAGGGUAGGUAGUGUUACAGGUUUGAAUUGAAGUAUUUUCCUGUUAUUGGUUCUGUGGGGUGUGUCUUCUUAAUGUAGAAGUAAUGGAAAUUUCUUGCCUAAAUGAAGGGCACCUUUAUUCGUGCAAAACCUAGAAUUCUUUAAGGAACAGCUUAAUACUUCAAAACUAUAUUUUUAAAUAAACUUGUUACAUUAGUAUAGAUAAAAACUGUCAAUAGUAAUACUUUUUUAUUAAGGAACUAUUUUAACAGAAAACUAUUCUUGACUUGUAAGUAGAAUCUUAAUUUAUUGUGAACAAAGCAUUUGAAAAUACACAAA